CCUGCCAACCUCAACGUCCCCCCCCCCCAUCCUCUACAGCGCCAUCCCUCUCACCCCUCCUCGGGUGUAUAUAUGGGGAGUGGGUGCCGUUGUAUAACACUACUCUCCAGGCUGGAGGGGGCGGAGGGUUUGUAUAUCAAUACUGCUUCACUCCAGCGACCAUGUUCGUUCAAUUACACACCACCACAGCUGGUAAACAUUCCUUCUGGAGUUGCUCUCAGUGUUCUGAUGGAUAAACAAACAGCAAAGAAGAUGCCAAACAAGGAAGAGACUGAAAAGAAGCGAGACAUGUCAGAGGUGAAGGUUUUCAAAAGGAACAGCUUGAAACGCUCAGAAACAAAUGAACGCCAGAUACUGCCUACGCAAGAGGUGAUUGACCAAGAGAAGCAAGCCAUGCAGCAGAAGUCAUCCUGAGCAUUGCCGCAGCAGAACAACCCUUCCGUUCACGCAUUCCACAACACCAACCCCCAGUUUGCUUUGUAUACUGCUGGGCACAUCUGUAAUCAUCGCACUGUGCCUCCAGAGCCUUGCAAUAGCCACUUUCCACUUGCAUUUGGUGAUUUGUAUUUUUUGUUUUGCUUUCGUCACUGCUUUGAGUGGGGUAGGGUGGGAGUGACGCAGGACAUGGUGAUGGUGGGAGAUACUUGGGUUUCACACACGGCACUUGCCGUCUGCCUUCAGGCAGUGUAACGGUGGUUUGUUGCUGUUCCUUUUUCAGUCUUACAAUGUUUAAUAUGAAAUGAAAUAAAAUGUACAUUUGAAACUUC